CUGAGGUCCCAUCUUUGUUCUC
rnacentral:siRNA from 1 species